rnacentral:rRNA from 1 species
CGGCGGACGGGUGAGUAAUGUCUGGGAAACUGCCUGAUGGAGGGGGAUAACUACUGGAAACGGUAGCUAAUACCGCAUAACGUCGCAAGACCAAAGAGGGGGACCUUCGGGCCUCUUGCCAUCGGAUGUGCCCAGAUGGGAUUAGCUAGUAGGUGGGGUAACGGCUCACCUAGGCGACGAUCCCUAGCUGGUCUGAGAGGAUGACCAGCCACACUGGAACUGAGACACGGUCCAG